CACGUAGGCACCAAGCGUUGUCCGGAUUUAUUGGGCGUGAAGAGCUCGUAGGCGGUUCGGUAAGUCGGGUGUGAAAACUCUGGGCUCAACCCAGAGCCGCCACCUGAUACUGCUGUGACUAGAGUGCGGUAGGGGAGCGGGGAAUUCCUGGUGUAGCGGUGAAAUGCGCAGAUAUCAGGAGGAACACCGGUGGCGAAGGCGGGUCUCUGGGCCGAUACUGACGCUGAGGAGCGAAAGCGUGGGGAGCGAACAGG
rnacentral:rRNA from 1 species